rnacentral:rRNA from 1 species
UGGCGGCGUGCCUAACACAUGCAAGUCGAACGAGAAAGUGGAGCAAUCCAUGAGUAAAGUGGCGACCGGGUGAGUAACACGUGACUAACCUACCUCCGAGUGGGGAAUAACUCCGGGAAACCGGGGCUAAUACCGCAUAACAUCGCAAGAUCAAAGCAGCAAUGCGCUUGGAGAGGGGGUCGCGGCUGAUUAGCUAGUUGGCGGGGUAACGGCCCACCAAGGCGAAGAUCGGUAUCCGGCCUGAGAGGGCGCACGGACACACUGGAACUGAAACACGGUCCAGACUCCUACGGGAGGCAGCAGUGGGGAAUUUUGCGCAAUGGGGGAAACCCUGACGCAGCAACGCCGCGUGGAGGAUGAAGCCCUUUGGGGCGUAAACUCCUUUCGACCAAGACGAUAAUGACGGUACUGGUGGAAGAAGCACCGGCUAACUCUGUGCCAGCAGCCGCGGUAAUACAGAGGGUGCAAGCGUUGUUCGGAAUUAUUGGGCGUAAAGGGCGCGUANGCGGUGCCACAAGUCACCUGUGAAACCUCCGGGCUUAACUCGGAGCCUGCAGGCGAAACUGUGGUGCUG